rnacentral:rRNA from 1 species
UGGGGAAUAUUGCACAAUGGGCGCAAGCCUGAUGCAGCCAUGCCGCGUGUGUGAAGAAGGCCUUCGGGUUGUAAAGCACUUUCAGCGAGGAGGAAGGUGGUGAGCUUAAUACGCUCAUCAAUUGACGUUACUCGCAGAAGAAGCACCGGCUAACUCCGUGCCAGCAGCCGCGGUAAUACGGAGGGUGCAAGCGUUAAUCGGAAUUACUGGGCGUAAAGCGCACGCAGGCGGUUUGUUAAGUCAGAUGUGAAAUCCCCGGGCUCAACCUGGGAACUGCAUUUGAAACUGGCAAGCUAGAGUCUCGUAGAGGGGGGUAGAAUUCCAGGUGUAGCGGUGAAAUGCGUAGAGAUCUGGAGGAAUACCGGUGGCGAAGGCGGCCCCCUGGACGAAGACUGACGCUCAGGUGCGAAAAGCGUGGGGAGCAAAACAGGAUUAGAUACCCCUGGUAGUCCACGCUGUAAAACGAUGUCGAUUUUGGAGGUUGUGCCCUUGAGGCGUGGCUUCCGGAGCUAACGCGUUAAAUCGACCGCCUGGGGAGUACGGCCGCAA